rnacentral:rRNA from 1 species
CAGCAGCCACGGUAAUACAGAGGGUGCGAGCGUUAAUCGGAUUUACUGGGCGUAAAGCGUGCGUAGGCGGCUAAUUGAGUCGGAUGUGAAAUCCCCGAGCUUAACUUGGGAAUUGCAUUCGAUACUGGUUAGCUAGAGUGUGGGAGAGGAUGGUAGAAUUCCAGGUGUAGCGGUGAAAUGCGUAGAGAUCUGGAGGAAUACCGAUGGCGAAGGCAGCCAUCUGGCCUAACACUGACGCUGAGGUACGAAAGCAUGGGGAGCAAACAGGAUUAGAUACCCGCGUAGUCCCUGUCUCUUAUAC